UGUUUUAUUGGAAUUCCCUUUUACACACACCUGUACUUUGCCUUUCCUCGCUUGUUACUCUGGUCCGUGCAGGCAGCAGAGGUGGAGGAAUGUGAACCAGAUUCCUGCCCGGAGACACACACACGGCAAUCCCUGGAUCACCCCCCCGUCCUGGGGGUUUUGGGGGGUUUGUCCCUCUCCUGGAGGGGAACAAGGUCUUGAAACUCACCUCAGUGGAAAAACUGAGGGAAGAGAGGAGAAAACCCCGCUGCUCCUCUGCCUCCUGCUCCGAGUGGGACAAGGAGCCAAUAUCCUGGGAAAAACCCCUUUUCCCAAAGCCCAGACCCCACGGCUUGUGGUGCCCGCCAGGGCUGGCUCGCCCUGAGGCUGCUGAGAUGGAGCCGAGGGGGUCAGGGGCAGCUUUGCCUCCUCCUGGAUCCCGAGGGGAAGCUUUGCCUCCUCCUGGAUCCCGAGGGGUUUGGAAUGUGGGAUGGGCCCGGCUGUGCCUGUCCUUCCUCUUGUCCCACCACCACCCAGCACUCCUGUCCCUCCUGCUCCAUCCAAGCUGGCCUUCCAAACAUCCCACCUCCAACAACAAAUGCAUUCCUGCCCGAGGCCACGUUGGUUCCCUGUCCUGGAACUGGAACCAGGCGGGUUUUAAGCUCUUUUCCAACCUGAACCAUCCCGGAUUCUCUGACCCCUCCUUCCCUGCAGCUCCCAGGGAGGAAGAAUUCGUUUAGGUAGAGAAGGGGGUAGAGGAUUGGCCUGGCAAGCAGAGCUCAGGUCUGCAUUUAGGCUGGCCUAUGUCUCAUAAAGCUCUGCUUUAAAUCUGUGCUGCUUCUCACAGUGUGGUCUCCUCUUCAGGCACCUGAGCCUGACUGCUUGGGCCGCCCCUCAGUUAAGCUGGGCUUAAGGCUUCCUCCCCAGCGGAUUUUGUAUCCCUGUUUCAGAGGAUGCAACCCUGGGCAUUUUGGAAACCAGGCACACUCUGAUCCCUCCAUCCCAAACAUUUUAAUUCCAUGUUUUUCCAGCCAAGGGUCUCCCACACCCUAAGACUCCAACAAGGGGAAGUUGAAGCCAGAGAAAAUGAAGAAUUUUUGGAGAGGAAGGUGCUCCUCAGCCCUCCUCCUGUCUCUGGUGUCAGGGAUCCUGAUGGAUUCUGCAUCUAAAGGAUAAAAUCACCCCAAAAUCCCAGUGCUGAUUAAGGUUUUGGGAACAGGGAAUUUAAUUUGAAUUGUUCCCCUUUUCCUCCUCAGAAUUUAUGGGUAAAACCCACUCCAUGGAAAUCAACAGAUGCCUCGGAAUUGAUUUUUCCUGGCACCGGGAUUUCAUCCCAAACUGUGGUUUUGCACACUCCAUCAUUAGCCCAGAAUCAUUAACCUCAGCCCGAGGAAAUAAUUAAAUUCCAUUGAAUUCCAACUCCACUGAAUUAUUUAGUUAACGAGUCAGGAAAACCAUUGCUCCAGUCGAGGGGAGAAGAUGAUCCGUGGGACCCAGGAGAAACGGGUGGGAAUUCCAUGUUCCCGAGCUGAGUUUGUGCUAAUUUACCUUUUUCCAGUGAAAAAGAAGAAGGAAAGGUGGCAGUGAGGAUGAAAAGGAAGAGGGAGCUGUCACUGACUUUGUCACACCCCACAUUCCCCCUUCUGCUCUCUUAAUAUUCCUCCAAUUAGGAAAAAUCCUAAUUAGGCCCUAAUUUAGCUCUGUCAGAUCGCGCUGGCCAGGCUGUCUGCCUGGGAAGAAGUCCGAUUUAUUUACUUCAUUAAUUACUCCUGAUUAACCGGGUGAGUUUUCCAGGACUUUUCCAUCUAUUCCUGGCCCCUGCCAAUCCCUCAGCUGAUUUCCAGCCCUGGAAACACCUGGAAAUGCCUGGAAAUGCCUGGAAAAUGCCUGGAAAUGCCUCUGUGGGGGGCAGAUUUUGUGAUGCAAAGGCAGCUCAGGGGACACGUGUUCCCAAAGGAGAACUAUUGGAGAAUCAGGGAAUUGCUGGGUUGGGAAAGACCAGCUGGAUCACCCGGACUCCAAUUGGAAAGCACCGACCCAGAGCAGAAACCACAGGGGCAGGACAGAAGGUGAAAUUAAACUCAAAUUAAUGAAAUGAAGCUGAAAUUAAAAAAAUAAAAUGAAGCUCAAAUUUAAAAAGGGAAGCUCACAUUAAAGAGGAAUAUUCAAUGUUGUAUCGGCUCUAAUCCCAAAUCCCUGGACGGGGUGGGAAGAUUCCUGGGAACUCUGGAACACUGAGUCCAGAUCCUUGAGGAAAACAGGAGUUCACUUGGAGGGUGGAAUGCUGGGCUGGAAACCCUUCCCUGCUCCGUGGAAAGGCUUCAGAGGAACUUGAGUUCGUGUUGCUUUAAUGCUCCCCCGGGAUCAUCUUUCCUCCCCUUGACUCCCAAAUCCUGGCAAAAUGUCGGCAUUAUCGGGAACUUUGUGUGCUCUGGGGCUACUGGAAACAGGGAAAACAGUGGGAAAACUUGGGAGAUGUGAGUUCACAGGAAAGGAAAGGAAAGGAAAGGAAAGGAAAGGAAAGGAAAGGAAAGGAAAGGAAAGGAAAGGAAAGGAAAGGAAAGGAAAGGAAAGGAAAGGAAAGGAAAGGAAAGGAAAGGAAAGGAAAGGAAAGGAAA